UGUUGCAUGGCUGUCGUCAACUCAUGUCGUGAGAUGUUUGGUCAAGUCCUAUAACGAGCGAAACCCUCGUUUUGUGUUGCUGAGACAUGUGCCUAAGGGGAAAGUCUUUGCAACCGAAGUGAGCUGAGGAGCCGAGUGACGCGCCAACACUACUAAUUGAGUGCCAGCACGUAGUUGUGCUGCUAGUAAGAAGGGAUCCAACACCUUUCGAAUUCGAAGCACUUUAUAGUGUGCGCUGUUUUUUGAUUGCAGCUAAUGAGCAAGAAAACAGAUGCGCGAACGCGCAACUCAACCCCUUGCUUGUUGAUUUAAUAAAUAGAAAGUUUUCAUGCUUGUUUAAUAAAUAGUGGUGUGGUAUGUAAUGGGUUUAGUACGCCCCUCCAAAACAAACUAAAAGGUGCAUGCCGCUCUCACGAGGGACUUCUAGUGAGAUACUGGAGGAAGGUGGGGAUGACGUCAAGUCCGCAUGGC
rnacentral:ncRNA from 1 species